GGGGGCUCUGCCCCAUCGUCAUGUUUGUCUUCUCUAAGAGAACCCAGGGCAAUCAUACCAGUUGCUGUCUGGGCCCAGGCCAAAGGGAAACAGAUUGUGACAUAGCCCCAAAUCACUCCUAAAACAUCCGUCCAGAUGUAACAGCUGUUACUUUUGCUCCAUUUUCAUUGGCCAACACACAUCAUGGGCGAGGCCUGGGUUUCAGUGGUGAACCCAGGGAGGGGAAAUGGGGGAAUGGGUCAGUGACUACUCACACCAUCUACCACAUGUACUCUGUACAGCACGCAAGCCUUCUAUGAUACCGAGAACGAGAGCGAGAGCCCUGGACCCCUGGCAGAAGAGUUGCCUCUUGUAA
rnacentral:lncRNA from 1 species